AACACCCGAAGUCGGUGAGGUAACCCUUGUGGAGCCAGCCGCCGAAGGUGGGACAGAUGAUUGGGGUGAAGUCGUAACAAGGUAGCCGUAUCGGAAGGUGCGGCUGGAUCACCUCCUUUCUAAGGA
rnacentral:rRNA from 1 species